GCGUCCGUAGCUCAGUUGGUUAGAGCACCACCUUGACAUGGUGGGGGUCGGUAG
rnacentral:tRNA from 1 species